CGGCGAACGGGUGAGUAACACGUGAGCAACCUGCCCCGAAGACUGGGAUAACACCGGGAAACCGGUGCUAAUACCGGAUACCCCCACUAGGCCGCAUGACCAGGUGAGGAAAUGAAUUUCGCUUCGGGAGGGGCUCGCGGGCUAUCAGCUUGUUGGUGGGGUAACGGCCUACCAAGGCGACGACGGCUAGCUGGUCUGAGAGGACGACCAGCCACACUGGGACUGAGACACGGUCCAG
rnacentral:rRNA from 1 species